UACAGAGGUCUCAAGCGUUGUUCGGAUUCAUUGGGCGUAAAGGGUGCGUAGGCGGCGCGGUAAGUCGGGUGUGAAAUCUCGGAGCUUAACUCCGAAACUGCAUUCGAUACUGCCGUGCUUGAGGACUGGAGAGGAGACUGGAAUUUACGGUGUAGCGGUGAAAUGCGUAGAUAUCGUAAGGAAGACCAGUGGCGAAGGCGGGUCUCGGGACAGUUCCUGACGCUGAGGCACGAAGGCCAGGGGAGCAAACGGG
rnacentral:rRNA from 1 species